rnacentral:rRNA from 1 species
UCGUCAGCUCGUGUCGUGAGAUGUUGGGUUAAGUCCCGCAACGAGCGCAACCCUUGUCAUUAGUUGCCAUCAUUAAGUUGGGCACUCUAAUGAGACUGCCGGUGACAAACCGGAGGGAGGUGGGGAUGACGUCAAGUCAUCAUGCCCCUUAUGACCUGGGCUACACACGUGCUACAAUGGACGGUACAACGAGAAGCGAACCUGCGAAGGCAAGCGGAUCUCUUAAAGCCGUUCUCAGUUCGGACUGUAGGCUGCAACUCGCCUACACGAAGCUGGAAUCGCUAGUAAUCGCGGAUCAGCACGCCGCGGUGAAUACGUUCCCGGGCCUUGUACACACCGCCCGUCACACCAUGAGAGUCUGUAACACCCAAAGCCGGUGGGAUAACCUUUAUAGGAGUCAGCCGUCUAAGGUAGGACAAAUGAUUAGGGUGAAGUCGUAACAAGGUAACCGUA